AUUGAACGCUGGCGGCAGGCCUAACACAUGCAAGUCGAGCGAGCGGCGGACGGGUGAGUACUGUCUGGGAAACUGCCUGAUGGAGGGGGAUAACUACUGGAAACGGUAGCUAAUACCGCAUACCAUCAGAUGUUCCCAGUUGGGAUUGGCUAGUAGGUGGGGUCACGGCUCACCUAGGCGACGAUCCCUUGCUGGUCUGAGAGGAUGACCAGCCACCCUGGAACUGAGCCACGGUCCAGACUCCGAAGGGAGGCAGCAGUGGGGAAUAGUCCGCAAUGGGCGCAAGCCUGAUGCAGCCAUGCCGCGUGUGUGAAGAAGGCCGUCGGGUUGUAAAGCACUUUCAGCGGGUAGGCGUUACCCGCAGAAGAAGCACCGGCUAACUCCGUGCCAGCAGCCGCGGUAAUUC
rnacentral:rRNA from 1 species